AAAAAUGGAAAGCUGUGAGGAAGUAAGGUCAUCACGAGGAGAAAGUCACCGAAGUGCCUCGGCUUCCCUGGAUUCUAGAUGCUACAGCAGUGGAGGAAAAAAAAGUCCUCCAAAGCUAGGACUCGGGACUCUCUUCCUUAUGCUUCCUGCCUAACUGGGGUCGAGGAUCUGGGGCCACCCAGACACAGUAAGACUUUGCUGAGUGAAACCAGAAAAGUCACCGCAUAAGAACAAGGAGAGAGGAGGGGAGUGUUGGCAGAGGAGGCCAAAGGGGGGAAGAGAAGACUUCCUGUAAUCCUUUCCAAUUCAGGAUGGCAAUGACAUGCAUGGAACUUUCUCCAGACAGAGAUAAUCAGGCCUCAGAAGUUCAAUUUCCUUCACUACCUGCCUCUCCCUCUCC